GACGGAGGGUGCUAGCGUUGUUCGGAAUCACUGGGCGUAAAGGGCGUGUAGGCGGUCUGUUAAGUCUGAUGUGAAAUCCCCUCGCUCAACGAGGGAACUGCGUCGGAUACUGGCAGACUUGAGUACCGGAGAGGAAGGUGGAAUUCCCGGUGUAGCGGUGAAAUGCGUGAGAUAUCGGGAGGAACACCGGGUGGCGAAGGCGGCUCACUGGUCCGGUACUGGACGCUGAGGUGGCGAAAGCG
rnacentral:rRNA from 1 species